rnacentral:rRNA from 1 species
UACGUAGGGGGCUAGCGUUGUCCGGAUUUAUUGGGCCUAAAGCAUCCGUAGCCGGUUCUACAAGUCUUCCGUUAAAUCCACCUGCUUAACAGAUGGGCUGCGGAGGAUACUAUGGAGCUAGGAGGCGGGAGAGGCAAGCGGUACUUAGUGGGUAGGGGUAAAAUCCGUUGAUCCAUUGAAGACCACCAGUGGCGAAGGCGGCUUGCCAGAACGCACUCGACGGUGAGGGAUGAAAGCUGGGGGAGCAAACCGG